GACGAACCGUGCGAACGUUAUUCGGAAUCACUGGGCUUAAAGGGCGCGUAGGCGGGCGGCCGAGUCCGGGGUGAAAGCCCCCAGCUCAACUGGGGAAGUGCCUCGGAUACUGGUCGCCUCGAGGGAGAUAGGGGCGUGCGGAACUUCCGGUGGAGCGGUGAAAUGCGUAGAUAUCGGAAGGAACACCGGUGGCGAAAGCGGCGCGCUGGAUCUCUUCUGACGCUGAGGCGCGAAAGCCAGGGGAGCGAACGGG
rnacentral:rRNA from 2 species